rnacentral:rRNA from 1 species
UGGGAAUAUUGCACAAUGGGCGCAAGCCUGAUGCAGCCAUGCCGCGUGUAUGAAGAAGGCCUUCGGGUUGUAAAGUACUUUCAGCGAGGAGGAAGGCGUUGUGGUUAAUAACCGCAACGAUUGACGUUACUCGCAGAAGAAGCACCGGCUAACUCCGUGCCAGCAGCCGCGGUAAUACGGAGGGUGCAAGCGUUAAUCGGAAUUACUGGGCGUAAAGCGCACGCAGGCGGUCUGUCAAGUCGGAUGUGAAAUCCCCGGGCUCAACCUGGGAACUGCAUCCGAAACUGGCAGGCUAGAGUCUUGUAGAGGGGGGUAGAAUUCCAGGUGUAGCGGUGAAAUGCGUAGAGAUCUGGAGGAAUACCGGUGGCGAAGGCGGCCCCCUGGACAAAGACUGACGCUCAGGUGCGAAAGCGUGGGGAGCAAACA